AUUGAACGCUGGCGGCAGGCCUAACACAUGCAAGUCGAACGAGUGGCGGACGGGUGAGUAAUGUCUGGGAAACUGCCUGUUGGAGGGGGAUAAAUAAUGGAAACGGUAGCUAAUACCGCAUACCAUCGGAUGUGCCCAGAUGGGUUUAGAUAGGAGGGGGGGUAAGGGCUCACCUAGGCGACGAUCCCUAGCUGGUCUGAGAGGAUGACCGGCCACACUGGGACUGAGACACGGCCCUGACUCCUACGGGAGGCAGCAGUGGGGAAUAUUGCACAAUGGGCGCAAGCCUGAUGCAGCCAUGCCGCGUGUAUGAAGAAGGCCUUCGGGUUGUAAAGUACUUUCAGCGGGGAGGCGUUACCCGCAGAAGAAGCACCGGCUAACUCCGUGCCAGCCGCCGCGGUAAUAC
rnacentral:rRNA from 1 species